rnacentral:rRNA from 1 species
CCUACGGGUGGCAGCAGUGAGGAAUAUUGGUCAAUGGACGCAAGUCUGAACCAGCCAUGCCGCGUGCAGGAAGACGGCUCUAUGAGUUGUAAACUGCUUUUGUACGAGGGUAAAUCCCGAUACGUGUAUCGGGUUGAAAGUAUCGUACGAAUAAGGAUCGGCUAACUCCGGGCCAGCAGCCGCGGUAAUACGGAGGAUGAGGGCGUUAUCCGGGUUUAUUGGGUUUAAAGGGUGCGCAGGCGGAGGUGUCAGUCAGCGGUCAAAUUGCGGGGCUCAACCCCGUACUGCCGUUGAAACUGCAUCCCUUGAGUGCGCGAGAGGUAUGCGGAAUGCGUGGUGUAGCGGUGAAAUGCAUAGAUAUCACGCAGAACUCCGAUUGCGAAGGCAGCAUACCGGCGCGCAACUGACGCUCAUGCACGAAAGCGUGGGUAUCGAACAGGAUUAGAUACCCCAGUAGUC